UACAGAGGGUGCAAGCGUUGUUCGGAAUUAUUUGGCGUAAAGCGCGUGUAGGCGGCUUUGCAAGUCGGGUGUGAAAGCCCUCAGCUCAACUGAGGAAGUGCGCCCGAAACUGCAGAGCUUGAGUACCGGAGAGGAUGGCGGAAUUCCCCAAGUAGAGGUGAAAUUCGUAGAUAUGGGGAGGAACACCGGUGGCGAAGGCGGCCAUCUGGACGGAUACUGACGCUGAGACGCGAAAGCGUGGGGAGCAAACAGG
rnacentral:rRNA from 1 species